ensembl:lncRNA
CGAGGAUACAGGAAGGUGUGUUGUUUUUGCCUCCCAAGGAACGCCACGAGUGGGACGGAGUGUUUGGGCGCUGGAGUAGGGCGAAGCAGAUGAGAGCAAUUGUGGAGUCGCUAAGCGAAUUGGAGGAUUUGAAAACGGCCACUGGAACAGGUUUGCCAAAGGGAAGUUUAUGGGAAGAAGUCGUACUCACUCGUGUCUGUUGUACGAAGGUGCCGUAGGGAAAUAGUGACAUUGUGGAACAACGAAGACAUUUCUGGGCGUCUGUACGAAGCUGGGGAGAGAAAGAGAGCGGGAGAAGAUUAGUCUUACGAAGACUGUGAGUACAUUGGAUUGCUUAGAUUGUUGUUUAUAUCUGGAUGAGAAAGAGAGCGGGAGAAGAUCAGUAUCACGAAGACUGUGAGUACAUUGGAUUGCUUACAUAUCAUUGCUCAUACUUGGAUAUGGAUAACUAAUACCUGUUGGAGUGAUUAACAGCUUGUUGAGCGGCCCCAUCGUUGGAGGACGAGACGAGUGGGUGAGCCGAAGUAGAGCGUGGGUGAAUGGUUGUUAUUUGGCUGUGGCCACACCGUAAAGUUUGGAGCACUUACCGUGACAGCGACUGCAAACUCCUCCAGGACGAAAUCCGACCGGGCGUGGAGUACCGACCUUAAAAAUCACUGAAGUGUGUGUAGUGCAGUGGGUGAGUCUGUCUUUGACGUGUGUACACCAAAGCUUUGCAGUGCUGUGCCGUGUCCCUGUUGUCUGUACUCGCCCUCCAGGCCGAGAAAAGUUGCUGUUGGAGAGAACGUAGGCUGCCGUGGCGGUGCCCACCUAUUCCACUUACGCCCGCCUAUAACUCCGUUCUCCGGACCCAGCUCGAAGGAGAAGAGAAGGGCGCCACGGGAAAUCAAGCAGUUAAGGAAGGACUUAGGAUUAGUCAGGAGACUGGUGGAAGUUCUGGGAAAGGACGGAAGAGCCCUUGCCCCCCCCCCUCCCCUGGUGAUUACUUACCAAAGACCUCCAGAGUUCUCAGGCCCAGUCCCCUCCUGUCAAGAGACGAA